ACGAACGCUGGCGGCAUGCCUCACACAUGCAAGUCGAACGAGACCUUCGGGUCUAGUGGCGCACGGGUGCGUAACGCGUGGGAACCUGCCCUUAGGUUCGGAAUAACUCCCCGAAAGGGGUGCUAAUACCGGAUAAUGUCUUCGGACCAAAGAUUUAUCGCCUUUGGAUGGGCCCGCGUUGGAUUAGCUAGUUGGUAGGGUAAAAGCCUACCAAGGCGACGAUCCAUAGCUGGUCUGAGAGGAUGAUCAGCCACACUGGGACUGAGACACGGCCCAGACUCCUACGGGAGGCAGCAGUGGGGAAUAUUGGACAAUGGGCGAAAGCCUGAUCCAGCAAUGCCGCGUGAGUGAUGAAGGCCUUAGGGUUGUAAAGCUCUUUUACCCGGGAUGAUAAUGACAGUACCGGGAGAAUAAGCGCCGGCUAACUCCGUG
rnacentral:rRNA from 1 species